rnacentral:rRNA from 1 species
UACGAAGGGGGCUAGCGUUGUUCGGAAUUACUGGGCGUAAAGCGCGCGUAGGCGGUUUUCCAAGUUGGAGGUGAAAUCCCUGGGCUUAACCCAGGAACUGCCCCCAAGACUGGAAGACUCGAGUCCGAGAGAGGUGAGUGGAAUUUCCAGUGGAGAGGUGUAAGUCGUAGAUAUUGGAAAGAACACCAGUGGCGAAGGCGGCUCACUGGCUCGGUACUGACGCUGAGGUGCGACAGCGUGGGGAGCAAACAGG